GCGAGCCGUAUGAAUUGAAAAGUUCAAGUACGGUUCUGAGGGCAGUUUUAGAUCCUAAGUGCCCAGAAGCCCUGUGGACGCUUCUUCUGACCCCUAC
rnacentral:ncRNA from 1 species